CGCGCAGGGCCGCAGAGCCGCAGGACUAACCUGGCUUGCGCCCUGCAGCCCCGGGCUCGCCCGGCGGCCCCGCCCCCUCCCCUGCCGGGGCUUUUCCUGCGGAGCUCAGGAAGCCGGCCUAGCACAGCCUCGGGACUUGGGCUCCGCUCCCAGGGAGGCCGGCGCGGGGCCGCUGGGACAGGGGUUGUCGGCGCCGCUGGGGGCCCGCAGCCAGCCCUCGGCCCGGGCCGGAGCUUCAGUUCAGCCCUGCCGCCCAGCGCCUGCCCUCGAAGCCCCGCGGCCGCCCGCGCCCUCCUCCCAUCAGUGGCCUAGCAGCCCUCGGCCCAAGGCUUCUCCGGCCCCUGGCUGCCCGCGGACGCCCUCCCACAGUCAUGAACCCCCAUGAGUGAGCAGCGGAGGAAGGAGGAGCGGCCGACUCGGACGUGGACGGCUUUUUUCGGACAGGUUGGCACGGAAAUCCAUCUGCUCGGCUGGGAUCUCCUUCAGGUCGUCUUCCGAGAGGGUCUUGGUACUCACCUUCUUCCCCAGGAGGUCCCGGAAGUCCAGCUGCUCCACCUCCUGCUGGCGGAUCGCCUCCUCAGUGUGCUGCCUCGUCUCCACACGCCUCUUCAGCACCCCUCGCACGUCCUCGCCGUCUUCCUCCUCUGGCCAACCCUGCCCUCUUGCUGGCCAGCCAGGCCUCAGGGUCCCAUAGCGGUCACUACCACCACCAUCAGCACCAACUCCUCCACCACAGAGGCCCUCACAGCUGGCAGGCUCCCUCCCCCUGCAACCAGUGAAGGGAGAAAGGAAAGUAGCAGGAGGAAAAGGGGCUGGCUCUUAUUUAAAAAGAAGAUGAAAAACAGAAUCUCUGAACAACAGCUAAGGCAGGCAUCCAGGAGUAGGAAUACUUUUCUAACACAGCCCAGAUGUAAACAUCAGGAGCAGACGCUCAGAUGGCUGAUUUACCCCAGCUGGACUCCUCUGAGGCUUUGGCAGUGGCCAGCCCUGUGCCCCAAGCUGGAGUAAGCCGACUCUCCCCAUGGGGGAAGCAGCUCCUCCAACUCCCAGACUGUGUGGUUCUGCACAACAGUGAAGAAAAUAUUGAGGAACCGAAACAAGCUGAGGCAGGUAAGUCCCACCCCCUCCUCCACUCAGAUGCCGGAGGCCUGACACCAGUUAGGCUGGUGUACCUGCAGCAUUCUGCCCUGGGUUUGCCUUUGAUCCCACCCCUGCAGUCUAGCCACCAGGAAACAAAAAAUCUCCUCUCUGGGUUUUCUAAGCCUUACCUUUUGGUUCAGGGCAGAUCAGAACCCAGGAAACCCUGAACUCCAGAUAGGCAUCUGAAGGGAGAGGUGUCUCCACUCUGCCUCCAGCUCAGGUCCUCAGAACUACGCUUUGCCCUCACCUCACCUGACUGGUGCAGCACAUCCAGCCUCGUGCUCCUUGUUUUCUGGACAGUUUCCUUUUGUUGUGUUUGAUUUCCUUCUCUCAAGUAGUCAUUCAGUUUCCACAGUGAAUCCUGACUGGCACGCUAGAGUAUACACAGGCCUGAACACAUACUUGAAAGGUUGUGCCUCUCUUGCCUCCUGUUCCAGCUUCCUACCAUCCAAACUACACAAAUCAGCAAGUACCUCUUCCAAAUUUGUUUUUUUAGUGAACAGGGUCUCACUCUGUUGCCCAAGCUACAGUGCAGUGGUACAGUCAUAGCUCACUGCAGCCUCCUACUCCUGGGCUCAAGUGAUCCUCCCACCUCAGCCUCCCAAAUAGUUGGGACUACAGGUGCAUGCCACUACACCCAGCUAAUUAUUAAACUUUUUGUCGAGAUGGGAUCUCACUAUGUUGCCCAGGCUGGUCCUGAACUCCUGGGCUCAAGUGAUGCUCUUGACCCAAAGCGCUGGGA
ensembl:lncRNA